AGGUAAGCUACUAAGAGCGAAUGGUGGAUGCCUUGACUGGUAAAGGCGAUGAAGGACGUACUAGACUGCGAUAAGCUACGGGGAGCUGUCAAGAAGCUUUGAUCCGUAGAUUUCCGAAUGGGGCAACCCAAUGUAUAGAGAUAUACAUUACCUAUAUAGGAGCGAACGAGGGGAAUUGAAACAUCUUAGUACUCUCAGGAAAAGAAAUCAAUAGAGAUUGCGUCAGUAGCGGCGAGCGAAAGCGCAAGAGGGCAAACCCAGUGCUUGCACUGGGGGUUGUAGGACUGCAAUGUGCAAGAGGUAAGUUUAGCAGAACAUUCUGGAAAGUAUAACCAUAGAGGGUGAUAGUCCCGUAUGCGAAAAACAAACCUUAGCUAGCAGUAUCCUGAGUAGGGCGGGACACGAGGAAUCCUGUCUGAAUCCGGGUCGACCACGAUCCAACCCUAAAUACUAAUACCAGAUCGAUAGUGCACAAGUACCGUGAGGGAAAGGUGAAAAGAACUGAGGUGAUCAGAGUGAAAUAGAACCUGAAACCAUUUGCUUACAAUCAUUCAGAGCCCUAUGUAGCAAUACAGGGUGAUGGACUGCCUUUUGCAUAAUGAGCCUGCGAGUUGUGGUGUCUGGCAAGGUUAAGCAAACGCGAAGCCGUAGCGAAAGCGAGUCUGAAUAGGGCGCUUAGUCAGAUGCUGCAGACCCGAAACGAAGUGAUCUAUCCAUGAGCAAGUUGAAGCUAGUGUAAGAACUAGUGGAGGACUGAACCCAUAGGCGUUGAAAAGCCCCGGGAUGACUUGUGGAUAGGGGUGAAAGGCCAAUCAAACUUCGUGAUAGCUGGUUCUCUCCGAAAUAUAUUUAGGUAUAGCGUUGUGUCGUAAUAUAAGGGGGUAGAGCACUGAAUGGGCUAGGGCAUACACCAAUGUACCAAACCCUAUCAAACUCCGAAUACCUUAUAUGUAAUCACAGCAGUCAGGCGGCGAGUGAUAAAAUCCGUCGUCAAGAGGGAAACAACCCAGACUACCAGCUAAGGUCCCUAAAUCUUACUUAAGUGGAAAACGAUGUGAAGUUACUUAAACAACCAGGAGGUUGGCUUAGAAGCAGCCAUCCUUUAAAGAAAGCGUAAUAGCUCACUGGUCUAGUGAUUUUGCGCGGAAAAUAUAACGGGGCUAAAGUAAGUACCGAAGCUGUAGACUUAGUUUACUAAGUGGUAGGAGAGCGUUCUAUUUGCGUCGAAGGUAUACCGGUAAGGAGUGCUGGAGCGAAUAGAAGUGAGCAUGCAGGCAUGAGUAGCGAUAAUUAAUGUGAGAAUCAUUAACGCCGUAAACCCAAGGUUUCCUACGCGAUGCUCGUCAUCGUAGGGUUAGUCGGGUCCUAAGUCGAGUCCGAAAGGGGUAGACGAUGGCAAAUUGGUUAAUAUUCCAAUACCAACAUUAGUGUGCGAUGGAAGGACGCUUAGGGCUAAGGGGGCUAGCGGAUGGAAGUGCUAGUCUAAGGUCGUAGGAGGUUAUACAGGCAAAUCCGUAUAACAAUACUCCGAGAACUGAAAGGCUUUUUGAAGUCUUCGGAUGGAUAGAAGAACCCCUGAUGCCGUCGAGCCAAGAAAAGUUUCUAAGUUUAGCUAAUGUUGCCC
rnacentral:rRNA from 1 species